rnacentral:lncRNA from 1 species
CAAACUAACGUGUGUCCAAAUUUGUUCUGAUGAUUUUGAUAAGAGCAAUAUUAUGAUCGCCGAAUUAACUGGAUCGAAGGCAAAUAAGACCAAAUUCUGAGCCUCAAAUAGAUAGUACCAUUUUUGCUGGGGCUUUAUCAUACAGGUUUUCUUCUAGUUUGUACCGCCACCCAAAAAAUGUUUUAGAUAAAUGAACCUCCAGACCAGUUGAGGGACUAGAGAAGGUCCCUACCUAGUCCCGCGAUUGGCAGUUUGGCUGGCCCCUCAAAUUUGAUUUUGCCUAAAAUCAUACAAGAUAAACUAGCCCUUCUCAAGAAGCCCUUCCUCAAAACAACAGAAACGGCAUUGAAAAAGAAGUUGGAAUUAACCACAUAGUAAGACAAUCCUCAUCUUCUGAUCUCUCAAUAGUUGGAUAUUUAUUAUCUCAAGAAAGUCGUCAAAGUAUCAGAAAAAGAAAGAAGUAUGUUAAUGAGGCAUUAUAAUGAUAUUAUGUAGAAAUUUAAGUCUUGUAAAAAUUUGGAAA